GCGCCGGAGAUCGUCAUUGGGACGACGGUAUGUCAGUUUGUCCGACAGAGUACAAAUGAGGAUGUGAAGGUUGUCGGUAACAAGAGGUUAGAAAGAGCCGGGGCGCACGACUUGUGGAAAUUUUUGGGUAUAUACGUUUUCGACCUCUGGUUCUACAGAAAUUUUUGGGUAUAUUUGUUUUCGAACCCCCCUCCCCUCCCAUCGGAAAUCUCAAGUUUCGCCACUGCACACGUGCACAACGCAUAAGUAUUUUACCCUUUUUUAAACCACUGACCGGGUAGUGGUGCUCGAUCAAGUACACCGUCGCCACCAAUUCGAUAGUGAAAAUAUCGGCUAGUUACCAAUCGAAGGAGGCCGAAAUGUGACAGUUGGGAACGACAUUAUGGUCGUUGCAUUUAAAAAUAAUAAUAAUUUCUUUUCAAUUAACUAUAUAUAUAUAUAGGGCAGGGAUAAAUCGAAAACCCACUCCAGUUGAGAAAACCUAGGAAACCCCAUCUCCACCAUUGAUUAAUAUGAUCAAUGGUUGUGAUCAUCUUGUAUGUACAACUGAUGUUGCUUUUAAUAUAAUAAUAAGUUAAAGUACAUGCAAGGGUAUUUUUGGUAUGAAUGUGAGAUUUUGAUGCCUUGGGAUAAUUGUAACUCCAUGUGCAUGUACUGGUGACAUCCAAAGUCCAUACGCCAGUACUACUUUCAUCAUUAAUCUAGAUACAAAAUAUGAAAACCACAAAAAGACUCUUCCCCAUUUUUACAUUGUUUAUCAAAACCACACAAAACCCUUCUUUCUCUCAACUUCAUCCCAGCAUCGAGGAAGAGUUGAAGAUCUAUCUACUUAUCCGUCUGGUUACAUUAAAGAUCAUCCAGAUCCAAAAGUACUCUGAUUUUUGGUGGGUGGGAAAGAUGCUCCAGACCCAAAAAGAUGCUCUGAAUCCAAAAGAUGAUCCAUAUCCAAAAGAUGAUCCGGAAAGAUGCUACCAGAUCCAAAAAAUGCUCCAGAUCCGGUUGAAGAUGUUCGAUGUUGAAGAUGAUGUUUCAGAUGGCGGUUCGAUGUUGAAGAUGAUCCAAAAGAUUUUCGAGGUUGAACAUGAUGUUCCAGAUCUAAAAGAUCCUCCAUAAUAAGUAUGUUUGUUCAGUUUUUUUUUUCAGAUUUGCAACUUUUUGUGUUUUGUAG